UUGGUUGCGCCGCGAGGGCUUUACUGGGCUAGGGGACGCCCGCGGGGCAGCGAGGCUGAAGCCGGCGAGAAGCGGGAAGCGGGAAGCGGGAAGCGGGACCGGGACUGGGUUUAGCCGGCCACCGAAAGGCCGAGGGUCGGCUGCUCUUAGUCUCUGCUAGGCCUCCCGAGAUAGGGCGUAGGAGCUUGAGGAGUUCAGAAAGUGAGUUGCGGACUCCUGUCUGGGACUUUGGUUUGAGCCCUGGCUUCGGCCUUUCUCGCAUUUCCCCGCAAGGACGUUUCCUCUCAGUCUUUGCAGAAGUUGGGAACGUUGGACUUUAUUUUCAUUGUUUGGUCGAGGGUCCACUGUAUGUAAGCACUCGUUGUUCUGCGCCAGGCAUCGUGGAGACAGCUUUGAGGUAGAAGCUAGGGGAGGGAGGGCUUAGGGAUGCUUGAGGUAUGUUCCUUACCCACCUGCAAUGUUGGAGGUUGAGAAUCUGGCUUUGAUAUCUUCGUGGAGGACUACAUUAUUUUCAAUCCUGAAUCUGGUUCAGUUUUCUUACUGAUUUCUUACUGUAUUAAAAAUGUUUGUUUAAUUAGC